AAAAAAAAAGAAAAAAGCGAAAAGGGCAAAAACGAAAAGGGUAAAAAGGGAAAAACACUUAUCAUAAUGAACUACUCAGAAGCACUUGUUUAUAUGCUCAUUUGUCCUUUUAAUUUAUUCUAUUUGUUAAAUUUCUCAUGCCUCUUACAAAAAACAAAUAAAAUAUUUCAUCAAACUAAAGAACAGUUAGCUUGUGAUAAUAAUAUUAAAAAUAAUAUGUUAUUAUAUUAUUUACAAUAUGAAGAAUAUAUAUAUAUAAAUCCUGAAAAGCACUUUGAAUUUAUAUUAAAGAAUAGAAAUGAUAUAAAAAUAUUGCAAAAAAAAAAAUAUGAUACAACAUUAGAUUAUUAUAAUAACAAUAUUAAUGAAUAUAUGUUAAAAGAUGUACAAACGACUGAAAAAAUUAAAGAAAAGAAAAACGAGCAGCGGAAUCGAGAUAUGGAUGUGAAAAUAGACAAUUCGGAGGAUGUCUAUACAAAAGAAGAAGUCAUAAACUUGUUUUAUGAAAAUGUUAAAAAUAAAAAAGCUAUAAAAGUAAGAAUAUUUAAAGUCAAACAAAUUAGUAACUAUUUUAAUUUACUCAAUACUAAUAGGUGUAUUUAUAAGUUAACAAAAACAAAUUAUGACAUUUUUAAAAAUCAAAAUACUUAUAGUAAAGAAAUAAUGACAAAUAGUUAUUAUAUAUAUUUAAUUAUAAUUUUUUUUUCUUUUUGUAUGUAUAUAGAAAAAUGUUUAUAUAUAAUAUUUGUUAAAUUAAGAAAAUAUGAAAUUCUGUUAACAUUAUUUGUUUUAUUUAUACCGGUCAUAUUUUUUUUAUUUUUUUGUUUUUAUUUUACUUUAACGAACGUUUUAUUAGCAAUUAUUUUUUUUCACCUUUUAUUUAUAAUUUGUUAUUACAAAAAAAAAGAUAUAAAUAUAAACUCGUUUUUUAGUAGGAAUAAUAAUAAUACUACUACUUGUCAUAGUAAUGUUGUAAAUGAAAACACAAAGAUAAUUUAUAAUUGUGUAAUUAAUACAAGGUCUUUGAAUAUGUGUCUUACAUAUUUAUGUAUAUUU
rnacentral:lncRNA from 1 species